rnacentral:rRNA from 1 species
UACGAAGGGGGCUAGCGUUGCUCGGAAUACUGGGCGUAAAGGGCGCGUAGGCGGACAGUUUAGUCAGAGGUGAAAGCCCAGGGCUCAACCUUGGAAUUGCCUUUGAUACUGGCUGUCUUGAGUUCGGGAGAGGUGAGUGGAAUGCCGAGUGUAGAGGUGAAAUUCGUAGAUAUUCGGCGGAACACCAGUGGCGAAGGCGACUCACUGGCCCGAUACUGACGCUGAGGCGCGAAAGCGUGGGGAGCAAACAGG